UAAUUGAUUAAAUUGGCCUUUGAGACUCUAACACUGAGUGAUUCAUUAUCUGUUCUCUGUUUUUGCCACAGACGCCAGAUCCCACCAAAAUCCAUCUCCAGUCAGCGUGCAGGUUCAAAUGAAAAUUUAAGCAAAACUCCUGACGUGUGCAAAUCCAGCCUUUAUGGUAAGAAAGCGAAGGAUGAGGAUCCUAACGCCAUCUCCAGGGAGCUGCCGGAGAUUCCUACAGAGAAGUCAGAUUGUCAGGAUAAGACCCAGGCAGGGAGACAAGGAGGCGGACGCAAGUGCAGGUAAGGGCGAGAUUUAAUAAAUAAAUAACAAAUAAACA
rnacentral:lncRNA from 1 species